UGGGGAAUAUUGCACAAUGGGCGCAAGCCUGAUGCAGCGACGCCGCGUGGGGGAUGACGGCCUUCGGGUUGUAAACCUCUUUCAAUAGGGACGAAGCGCAAGUGACGGUACCUAUAGAAGAAGCACCGGCCAACUACGUGCCAGCAGCCGCGGUAAUACGUAGGGUGCGAGCGUUGUCCGGAAUUACUGGGCGUAAAGAGCUCGUAGGUGGUUUGUCGCGUUGUUCGUGAAAACCGGGGGCUUAACCCUCGGCGUGCGGGCGAUACGGGCAGACUGGAGUACUGCAGGGGAGACUGGAAUUCCUGGUGUAGCGGUGGAAUGCGCAGAUAUCAGGAGGAACACCGGUGGCGAAGGCGGGGUCUCUGGGCAGUAACUGACGCUGAGGAGCGAAAGCGUGGGGAGCGAACAGGAUUAGAUACCCUGGUAGUCCACGCCGUAAACGGUGGGUACUAGGUGUGGGUUUCCUUCCUUGGGAUCCGUGCCGUAGCUAACGCAUUAAGUACCCCGCCUGGGGA
rnacentral:rRNA from 1 species